rnacentral:rRNA from 1 species
CCCUACGGGGUGCAGCAGGCGCGAAACCUUUACAAUGUGCGAAAGCAUGAUAAGGGAACUCCGAGUGCCAGUAUCUAAUACUGGCUGUCCUUGUGCCUAAAACGCACAAGAUAGCAAGGGCCGGGUAAGACCGGUGCCAGCCGCCGCGGUAACACCGGCGGCCCGAGUGGUAGCCGCUAUUAUUGGGUCUAAAGGGUCCGUAGCCGGUUCGAUAAGUCCUCUGGGAAAUCUGGUUGCUUAACAAUCAGACUGCCAAGGGAUACUGUCGAACUUGAGACCGGGAGAGGUAAGAGGUACUUCAGGGGUAGGAGUGAAAUCUUGUAAUCCCUGGGGGACCAUCUGUGGCGAAGGCGCCCUACGAGAACGGGUCCGACGGUGAGGGACGAAAGCUAGGGGAGCAAACCGGAUUAGAUACCCGGGUAGUCCUAGCUGUAAACGAUGCUCGCUAGGUGUCAGGCACGGUGCGUCCGUGUCUGGUGCCGCAGGGAAGCCGUUAAGCGAGCCACCUGGGGAGUACGGUCGCAAGGCUGAAACUUAAAGGAAUUGGCGGGGGAGCAC